GGCUGGGCACCUUACAGACACCUCUCUACAGAAGAUGGUACUGGGACAAUAAAAUCAUUAUGAUUAGUGACCUGUUAGUGUUCUCUACUGUGGCAGAUACAAACCUGUGGCAUCCACUUUACUGAGAAAAGUAUCCUAGAAAGAAAACUUUAACUCUAGGUUUUAUGUAACAAUCUAUUCCUGGUAUGAAACAAUUCUUUAAACUGGUUUUUCUGCUUGAGAACGGAUUUAGGAGAUGGGAUUUAACCCUCUAGACAGAGAUAAGUUGGAUUUCACGAGUGUUCCUGUGUUUGUACUCAGUCUGUACACACACGUUCCUACGCAUGUCUAACCUGAUUUACCUCUUACCUGUAAUGUACCUUACCAUGUGGCUUUUAAUUGGCAGCCACUCAGCCAUUUCUAGGCAGGUAUAGUAUUACCUUUCAGAAAUCAUACUGGUAGGUAAAAACAAAAAAAAUGACCUGAAGUUAAUUAAGGACAAAACCACUGCAUACUAAGCUAUUUCCCUUUGAGGUGCUAAACAUGCACCUCACACCCACCCAGUAACAAGUAGUGGGAGACGAACAGCUCUGAAAGGUCAUACUGCCUGUGAGGAAGUGAGCCGAGGUGGCCUUUGCAAUUGUGAAUCUUGCGCUCUAUUUCUGAGUGGAUUUCAGGUUUAACUGUUUGUUAACUGUACUGAAGGCGUGUUAAGAGGAAAUGUUCAAAUUAAAAAAGCUGCUGCUGAGUA